AGAGUUUGAUCCUGGCUCAGGAUGAACGCUAGCGGCAGGCCUAACACAUGCAAGUCGAGGGGUAACGAUGUCUUCGGACAGUCGACGACCGGCGCACGGGUGAGUAUCGCGUUUGUAACCUACCUUUAACUGGAGCAUAGCCCGAAGAAAUUCGGAUUAAUACUCCAUAACACUAUGAACUGGCAUCUUUUUAUAGUUAAAGCUCCGGCGGUUAAAGAUGGGCAUGCGUGACAUUAGUUUGUUGGUGAGGUAACAGCUCACCAAGACUACGAUGUCUAGGGGGUCUGAGAGGAUGGUCCCCCACACUGGUACUGAGACACGGACCAGACUCCUACGGGAGGCAGCAGUGAGGAAUAUUGGUCAAUGGGCGCAAGCCUGAACCAGCCAUGCCGCGUGAAGGAUGACAGCGCUAUGCGUUGUAAACUUCUUUUGUACAGGAAGAAACACUUCUACGUGUAGAAGCUGACGGACGA
rnacentral:rRNA from 1 species